rnacentral:rRNA from 1 species
GUGCCAGCCGCCGCGGUAAAACGUAGGUGACAAGCGUUAUCCGGAUUUACUGGGCGUAAAGCGUGUGCAGGCGGGGGGAUAAGUGGUGUAUGAAAUCGCUCGGCUUAACCGGGCGCGGUUAUGCCAGACUGUCCUUCUGGAGCGCGAGAGAGGAGCGUGGAAUUCCGGGUGUAGUGGUGAAAUGCGUAGAGAUCCGGAGGAACCCCAGAGGCGAAGGCGGCGCUCUGGCUCGCGACUGACGCUCAGACACGACAGCAUGGGGAGCGAACGGGAUUAGAUACCCUCGUAGUCC